rnacentral:rRNA from 1 species
AACUAGAAUAUGUAGUGUAGCGGUGAAAUGCUUAGAGAUUACAUGGAAUACCAAUUGCGAAGGCAGGUUACUACUAAUUGAUUGACGCUGAUGGACGAAAGCGUGGGUAGCGAACAGGAUUAGAUACCCUGGUAGUCCACGCCGUAAACGAUGGAUACUAGCUGUUGGGAGCAAUCUCAGUGGCUAAGCGAAAGUGAUAAGUAUCCCACCUGGGGAGUACGUUCGCAAGAAUGAAACUCAAAGGAAUUGACGGGGGCCCGCACAAGCGGUGGAGCAUGUGGUUUAAUUCGAUGAUACGCGAGGAACCUUACCAAGGCUUAAAUGUAGAUUGACCGAUUUGGAAACAGAUUUUUCGCAAGACAAUUUACAAGGUGCUGCAUGGUUGUCGUCAGCUCGUGCCGUGAGGUGUCAGGUUAAGUCCUAUAACGAGCGCAACCCCUGUUGUUAGUUGCCAGCGAGUCAAGUCGGGAACUCUAACAAGACUGC